rnacentral:rRNA from 1 species
AGCUCCAAUAGCGUAUAUUAAAGUUGUUGCAGUUAAAAAGCUCGUAGUUGGAUUUCUGGCAGUGUGACUCCGGCCGGCAUGACGUCGGGUCCAGAGCGCGCUACCAUCCUUCUGUUAACCUUUUCGGGAUUCAUUUCCCGAUCUGGGGCUCAGAUAUUUUACCUUGAGAAAAUUAGAGUGUUUCAGGCAGGCUUUCGCCGGAAUACAUUAGCAUGGAAUAAUGGAAAAGGACUUCAACCUCUUCUGUUGGUCUGAGAGGCUGUAGUAAUGAUUAAUAGGGAUAGUUGGGGGCAUUAGUACUUGACUGUCAGAGGUGAAAUUCUCCGAUUUGUUAAAGACUAACUUAUGCGAAAGCAUUUGCCAAGGAUGUUUUCA